rnacentral:rRNA from 1 species
CGAAGCUGCGGCAGCGACACUCAUGUGUUGUUGGGUAGGGGAGCGUUCUGUAAGCCUGUGAAGGUGUGUCGUGAGGCAUGCUGGAGGUAUCAGAAGUGCGAAUGCUGACAUAAGUAACGAUAAAGCGGGUGAAAAGCCCGCUCGCCGGAAGACCAAGGGUUCCUGUCCAACGUUAAUCGGGGCAGGGUGAGUCGACCCCUAAGGCGAGGCCGAAAGGCGUAGUCGAUGGGAAACGGGUUAAUAUUCCCGUACUUGGUGUUACUGCGAAGGGGGGACGGAGAAGGCUAUGUUGGCCGGGCGACGGUUGUCCCGGUUUAAGCGUGUAGGUGUGUGUUCCAGGUAAAUCCGGUUCACUUUAACACUGAGGCGUGACGACGAGGCACUACGGUGCUGAAGCAACAAAUGCCCUGCUUCCAGGAAAAGCCUCUAAGCAUCAGGUAACAUCAAAUCGUACCCCAAACCGACACAGGUGGUCAGGUAGAGAAUACCAAGGCGCUUGAGAGAACUCGGGUGAAGGAACUAGGCAAAAUGGUGCCGUAACUUCGGGAGAAGGCACGCUGACACGUAGGUGAAGUGAUUUACUCAUGGAGCUGAAGUCAGUCGAAGAUACCAGCUGGCUGCAACUGUUUAUUAAAAACACAGCACUGUGCAAACACGAAAGUGGACGUAUACGGUGUGACGCCUGCCCGGUGCCGGAAGGUUAAUUGAUGGGGUCAGCGCAAGCGAAGCUCCUGAUCGAAGCCCCGGUAAACGGCGGCCGUAACUAUAACGGUCCUAAGGUAGCGAAAUUCCUUGUCGGGUAAGUUCCGACCUGCACGAAUGGCGUAAUGAUGGCCAGGCUGUCUCCACCCGAGACUCAGUGAAAUUGAACUCGCUGUGAAGAUGCAGUGUACCCGCGGCAAGACGGAAAGACCCCGUGAACCUUUACUAUAGCUUGACACUGAACAUUGAGCCUUGAUGUGUAGGAUAGGUGGGAGGCUUUGAAGUGUGGACGCCAGUCUGCAUGGAGCCGACCUUGAAAUACCACCCUUUAAUGUUUGAUGUUCUAACGUGGACCCGUGAUCCGGGUUGCGGACAGUGUCUGGUGGGUAGUUUGACUGGGGCGGUCUCCUCCUAAAGAGUAACGGAGGAGCACGAAGGUUGGCUAAUCCUGGUCGGACAUCAGGAGGUUAGUGCAAUGGCAUAAGCCAGCUUGACUGCGAGCGUGACGGCGCGAGCAGGUGCGAAAGCAGGUCAUAGUGAUCCGGUGGUUCUGAAUGGAAGGGCCAUCGCUCAACGGAUAAAAGGUACUCCGGGGAUAACAGGCUGAUACCGCCCAAGAGUUCAUAUCGACGGCGGUGUUUGGCACCUCGAUGUCGGCUCAUCACAUCCUGGGGCUGAAGUAGGUCCCAAGGGUAUGGCUGUUCGCCAUUUAAAGUGGUACGCGAGCUGGGUUUAGAACGUCGUGAGACAGUUCGGUCCCUAUCUGCCGUGGGCGCUGGAGAACUGAGGGGGGCUGCUCCUAGUACGAGAGGACCGGAGUGGACGCAUCACUGGUGUUCGGGUUGUCAUGCCAAUGGCACUGCCCGGUAGCUAAAUGCGGAAGAGAUAAGUGCUGAAAGCAUCUAAGCACGAAACUUGCCCCGAGAUGAGUUCUCCCUGAGACUUAGAGUCUCCUGAAGGAACGUUGAAGACGACGACGUUGAUAGGCCGGGUGUGUAAGCGCAGCGAUGCGUUGAGCUAACCGGUACUAAUGAACCGUGAGGCUUAACCUUACAACGCCGAAG